UUUUCCUUGACGCAUCAUACAUACCUGGUUUAUGUUGCUUCAUGACGCUCGUAAUGAUGAUGGCAUUAAGAGCUUCUUCCAAGAGGUACACGAACUUUACAUAAAGACACUUCUUAAUCCCCUGUACUUGCCUGGCUCCCGGAUCACAUCAUCACAUUUUGACACGAAAGUCCGAGCUCUUGCCCGAAAAUAUUUGUAGAGUCCACCAGCUAGCUCAUAAGCAUUGAGUCUGGAUCUGACCCCUACCUUGUUCAAUUCUCUUUGUUAUCCCCUACAAGAUUUGGCAGAAAGGUUAGAUUUGGUGUUUGCCUGGAAUGUUUGUGUACACAAGUCAUUAGCGGAAGAUGGCUAUGUUUGUUGACAAAAGCUGUUGGAUC